AUUGAACGCUGGCGGCAGGCCUAACACAUGCAAGUCGAGCGAGCGGGGGACGGGUGAGUAAUGUAUGGGGAACUGCCCGAGAGAGGGGGGGAACAACUGGAAAAGGUAGCUAAUACAGCAUAUGAGCGGAUGAAUCCCUAUGGGAUUAGCUAGUUGGUGAGGUAAUGGCUCACCAAGGCGACGAUCCCUAGCUGGUCUGAGAGGAUGAUCAGCCACACUGGGACUGAGACACGGCCCAGACUCCUACGGGAGGCAGCAGUGGGGAAUAUUGCACAAUGGGCGCAAGCCUGAUGCAGCCAUGCCGCGUGUAUGAAGAAGGCCCUAGGGUUGUAAAGUACUUUCAGUCGGGAGGCGUUACCGACAGAAGAAGCACCGGCUAACUCCGUGCCAGCCGCCGCGGUAAUUC
rnacentral:rRNA from 1 species